UACGGGGGGGGGCAAGCGUUGUUCGGAAUUACUGGGCGUAAAGGGCGCGUAGGCGGCCUUCUAAGUCGAACGUGAAAUCCCCGGGCUCAACCCGGGAACUGCGUCCGAUACUGGAAGGCUUGAAUCCGGGAGAGGGAUGCGGAAUUCCAGGUGUAGCGGUGAAAUGCGUAGAUAUCUGGAGGAACACCGGUGGCGAAGGCGGCGCUCUGGACCGAGACUGACGCUGAGGCGCGAAGGCGUGGGGAGCAAACAGG
rnacentral:rRNA from 1 species